rnacentral:miRNA from 1 species
GAUAUUUGUCCCUUAGGGUUGAGU